UUGACAUUUGUUUGCGUGUCGAAAACAUAUACAUUCUAUAUUCAACAUUCACUGUCAUUCGUUCUCUAUAAAGUGUAAACUUAUCGUUUUUCGUCUAAAAGAAUUAAUAGUAUUUAUUUGAACAAAUCAAUUAAUAUAGGUACAAAAUAAGAAAAAUGAAUCCGAAUAAAUUGUAUUUACCGUUAGAAAUAAUACUUUCAUUUAUAUUUUGCACAUUUCCAGUGUCUUUUGCGGGCAAAACUAAUUUUGUGACUUGCGGGUCAAUAAUUAAACUUUUGAAUUCGGAUUACGGCUCACGCUUGCAUUCACAUGAUGUGAAAUAUGGUUCCGGUUCAGGUCAACAAUCAGUGACCGGAGUUGAAAUAAAAGAAGAUGUUAACAGCCAUUGGGUGAUAAAAGCACCAACAAAUAAGCAUUGUGAACGUGGAGAACCCAUACAAUGCGGCGAUAUUAUACGCUUAGAACACUUAACUACCAAAAAGAACUUACAUUCUCAUCAUUUUCCCUCGCCUUUAUCUGGUGAACAGGAAGUGUCAGCAUAUGGUGAUGAUGGUGUAGGUGACACCGGUGAUCAUUGGGAAUUAAUUUGUUCCAAUGAUGAAUGGGUGCGUGACGCUCAUGUACGCUUACGGCAUUUGGAUACUGGUAGUUAUUUGGGAAUGUCUGGUCGUUCGUUUGGAAGACCAAUUUCCGGCCAAAUGGAGGUUGUAGGUUUUAGUAGUUCCCAACACGGCACACGAUGGACAACAGCGGAGGGUUUAUUUAUUGUACCAAAGGACAGAGAAUCACACUCUGAAUAUGCUCACACAGAACUUUAGAAAAAUUUUGACGAUAAAGCUAAUGUGAUGUGCAUACGCUUCAUACGAAUUUUGCCGUUUUACUUUAUGAUAUAUAUUUACCAUAGUUAGUUUUUCAUUGAAUAAUUAGUUGAAAUUGAAUUUUAAUUUUUUGCAUACAUGACAACACAUAUUUUCCACAUACAACUGCAGUAAAAUUGCAUGUUUUUAUGAAUAUCAAAUAAAUGCAAAUUGUGUUAAAAAAUUGAAAAAAAAAAUGGAUGAAAAAGGAAACCAAUGAGUUACUCAUAUUUACAAAGUGUCGCAUCCUCCUGAAAUUAUAUACUUGUGGCAGAAAAUAAUCGCUCUUGAACACCAGCAGGCUGCCCUAUGAGUAAUAAGAAGACUUCUAGGGAUUUGAAGAAGCUGAUGAAGCCAUCUGCUGGGAGAUAAUGGAAGUAAAUGAAUGUUUAGAAGUCGACUGUGCCUGUGCGUCUAGAAAGUGCGCACUCGUCGUUCCCUACUCUACGUACACAAUUAUCAGCAGUCAGUUCGAGACGGUUGCGGAUGACAGUACAUGUUUAAUUCGAAGCAGCAGAAAAGCUACACAAACAUAUGAAUAAAGUAAAAUAAAUGUUUAUUGUUUAAAUAAUAACAGAAAAUAAAGAUUGCAAAUUAAAAGAAAAUAAUAAAUAAAAAUGGUGUAAAAUGUUUUCAAAUUCAAAAUAAUUACAUAUUUACAGUGUGAUGCAAUUAUAUACAUACAAACAUAUAUACAUACAUGUAUAUAUAUAACUGAAUUUUUUAAAAUAAAAUUUCAAAACUAUUGUGUAAAGUUGCUUUUGGUGUUUUUGGAAAAUAUCAAUUAACACUACAAAAUCGCCGUUUCGUUUGUAUACAGUGGUUACAUAAAUUGUUCAGCUGUUCGACCGUUUUCCACCAUUUUCGACAUUUUCGAUUUUCCUGCGACGUCAAGUGACGCAGUAACGUUUGAACUUCUGUCGUUUGCUGUACAGCCCAUUGUCGUUGACGUGCUUAUCGCUGACGUCGACGUGAACGGAUUGUGAAUUUUUCCAAAAAAAAAAAAAAAUAAAAAAAUACAAAAAACCUUACAUAGACACUACAUGUGUUUUAUGUGUGUGCCUGUGUGCUGAACUUUCGUAUGAAGAACUUGCAAGUGUUUAUGAUAAAAUACAAAUGCAUGUAGGAAAACGUGCCACUGUUGUUGUAGUUGUUAUAAUUUUUAUGUAGAAAUGUUAAAAGAGUAAUUAAAUACAAACAAAAAACAGCGAAACACGCAAAAAAGUCGAUCGAGUCUACUUGAAAUCUAUAAAAAGAAUUGUCAACCAAGUUUUUGAAAAGUUAUACGUAUACACUUAACGGUUUAUGGCAAAAACGUUAAAAAUUGCAAUUAACGAAAUCGUGUGAAAUUUUAUUGUGGUAACUGUUUUAAAAACAAAUACCGUUUGAAAUUGUAGUGUGCUCAAAAAAAAAAACAAAACCUAAAUUAAAAUAAAAAAAUUUAAAUGAAAAAAUUAAAAAUCUGUGUCAAUUUUUGUGAAAAGAAUUGAAAAAAAAUAGAGAAAAAAUCUAAAAAUAUAUGUAUUUGUUCACAAAAUAAAUACUGAAACCGAAAUUUUUGCUAAACGCUCUAGAUGUGUUAGUACACACUGCGAAUUGUGCUUUGAAAAUUGAAAGUGCAAAAAUUUGAAAAAGUGAUAACUGCUAUUUUACAACUAAAAAAUAUUAUUUUCGUGACUAAACAACAAUAGAAACCACAUUUGCAGUAUAAACAAU